rnacentral:rRNA from 1 species
GGAAGUAAAAGUCGUAACAAGGUUUCCGUAGGUGAACCUGCGGAAGGAUCAUUCAUAAUAAGUGUUUUAUGGCACUUUUUAAAUCCAUAUCCACCUUGUGUGCAAUGUCAGUCGAUCUUCUUCAUGGAGAUCGACCAAACAUCAACCUUUAUUUUUUAACUCUUUGUCUGAAAAAUAUUAUGAAUAAACAAUUCAAAAUACAACUUUCAACAACGGAUCUCUUGGCUCUCGCAUCGAUGAAGAACGCAGCGAAAUGCGAUACGUAAUGUGAAUUGCAGAAUUCAGUGAAUCAUCGAAUCUUUGAACGCAUAUUGCGCUCUUUGGUAUUCCGAAGAGCAUGCUUGUUUGAGUAUCAGUAAACACCUCAAAGCUUUUGGAUUUUUUAAUCGAAAAGCUUUGGACUUGAGCAAUCCCAACACCAAUCUUUUUGAGAUCGGUGGCGGGUUGCUUGAAAUGCAGGUGCAGCUGGACAUUCUCCUGAGCUAAAAGCAUAUUCAUUUAGUCCCGUCAAACGGAUUAUUACUUUUGCUGCAGCUAACAUAAAGGGAGUUUGACCGUAUUGGCUGACUGAUGCAGGAUUUCACAAGGGUCGGCAACGAUUCUUGUUAAACUCGAUCUCAAAUCAAGUAAGACUACCCGCUGAACUUAAGCAUAUCAAUAAGCGGAGGA